rnacentral:tRNA from 1 species
GGGGGUGUAGCUCAGUGGUAGAGCGCUCGCUUUGCAUGUGAGAAGUCCCGGGUUAAAGUCCCAGCACCUCCA